CGAACGGGUGAGUAAUACAUAGGUACCUGCCCCUGUGCGGGGGAUAACAGGAGGAAACUCCUGCUAAUACCGCAUAGACCGCAUGGACAAAUAUCCUUCGGGGAUAGCGCAGGGAUGGACCUAUGGCGCAUUAGCUAGUUGGCGGGGCAACGGCCCACCAAGGCAACGAUGCGUAGCCGGCCUGAGAGGGCGGACGGCCACAUUGGGACUGAGACACGGCCCAGACUCCUACGGGAGGCAGCAGUAGGGAAUUUUCGGCAAUGGGGGAAACCCUGACCGAGCAACGCCGCGUGAGCGAAGAAGGCCUUCGGGUCGUAAAGCUCUGUUGUAAAGGAAGAAGGCGAUCAGGAAAUGGUAUGCGAGUGACGGUACUUUACCAGAAAGCCACGGCUAACUCGUGCCAGCAGCCGCGGUAAUACGUAGGUGGCGAGCGUUAUCCGGAAUCAUUGGGCGUAAAGAGGGAGCAGGCGGCCGCAAAGGUCUGUGGUGAAAGACCGAAGCUAAACUUCGGUAAGCCAUGGAAACCGGGCGGCUAGAGUGCGGAAGAGGAUCGUGGAAUUCCAUGUGUAGCGGUGAAAUGCGUAGAUAUAUGGAGGAACA
rnacentral:rRNA from 1 species